rnacentral:rRNA from 1 species
AGUGAACGCUGGCGGUAGGCCUAACACAUGCAAGUCGAACGGCAGCACAGUAAGAGCUUGCUCUUACGGGUGGCGAGUGGCGGACGGGUGAGGAAUACAUCGGAAUCUACUUUUUCGUGGGGGAUAACGUAGGGAACCUUACGCUAAUACCGCAUACGCCCUACGGGUGAAAGCAGGGGCUCUUCGGACCUUGCGCGAUUGAAUGAGCCGAUGUCGGAUUAGCUAGUUGGCGGGGUAAAGGCCCACCAAGGCGACGAUCCGUAGCUGGUCUGAGAGGAUGAUCAGCCACACUGGAACUGAGACACGGUCCAGACUCCUACGGGAGGCAGCAGUGGGGAAUAUUGGACAAUGGGCGCAAGCCUGAUCCAGCCAUACCGCGUGGGUGAAGAAGGCCUUCGGGUUGUAAAGCCCUUUUGUUGGGAAAGAAAAGCAGCAGGUUAAUACCCCGCUGUUCUGACGGUACCCAAAGAAUAAGCACCGGCUAACUUCGUG